AAGAGAACUGACCAUGACGGGAGUGUUCUUUUUGGAGCUGACAGUGCCACAAGAUGCCUUUGAGGUCUCUGGUCCUUGCAAAUGUCGAUAGUGACUGUCUUGGAUACUUUGCAGAAAUAUGGAAGCUCCUCUGCUGGGCAUGCUACAUGCAAUUUCCUGCCCUCCUUCUACUAUCUACUUGUUUCCAAUGCCUUGUUUGUAGACGUCUACAUUAACUCCUACUUUUGGAGUUUCACCACCUCUUUACAUAGUGUUUUUGAGAAGACCACAAAAUAGCUCCAGGUUGGCUCUGUCUCCUGCAGAGUAUGCAUCUGGUUCCCAGAAGAUGCUCAUUCCUCUUUGAACUGCCAACGCAGGGGAAUUAAGCUGCUUCCCAGAAGCAGCAGCAACUUGCCAGCUUCCCUACUAGAAAAGCAGUUUGGCAGCCUCUCCUACCUGCCCUCCACAUACUUUCACAGGACUCAAUCCCCUUUUUAGCCUCUCUCUUAUCUCAAGUUCUCUGUGAGGUUCCUGUGAAAUCUGUGUCCCUAGCCUGGAAGUGAAGAGGGUAGUAUCCUUACUUGUCUGUCUUCCUUGGUGGAACCAGGUUCACAAAAAAUGUCACUGCGAUUGAAUGUGAGCUUUCACUUUUAACACUCACAAGUGAUGUCAAAAUUCCUGAGAUAUAUGGGUAAGUCUCUCUUGGAUCCUGGAAAUGGAAAUCAAGGGCCUUCCUGUGUUGCAGAGACACCACCUACACCUAAUAUUUCUUUUCAAUAUUUAUUCCUUGGGAGUCAAUUGCAUGCAAUUACAAUAGUCUAUUUAUCACAUUUCCUGGUCUUCCAUGCCCCUCUGUUACCCUCUCUCUCCAGUUGUACUUCUCCCUAAAAAUUGAACGCCCACACCUUGGCUGUAAUUGGAGAUGACGUAGUCCCAGAAUUACCAUCAUGUGUCCUAAUGAAGUGCCUUGAUGCCUCUUAUUCCUCUCCCCACACACUCUAUCAUCACCUGUGUUCGUUUAUAAGCAUAUCUACAUAUUUUCAACAACCCAGGUGAGGUUUGGAGACAUUCCUCUGUGUGAUGAAAUAUUCAGAGAAACAGUGACUUAUCCUGUGGACAGGCACAGGGUGAGUGCCACUUGGAAGAACACCACGUUCUUUGUGGGUGAACUACUGUGCCAAGGAGCCAGGGACACAGCUGAGGGUCACUCACCAGGGCCAGUAAAAGGCAGCAUCAAAGGAGCGAUCUGAAUGUGCAAAAGAAUCGAUAAUCAUUCUUCAAAAUGAGGCCUUUUCAAACAUGGCAAAUGUCACUGGCUCUUAGCAACACUACUUGGGAUUUAUUCUCUCAAAAACGGCACCACCACAGGGCUGGAAUAAAAAGCCCUGGUAUGCUAUUCUUCAAAAUGGCAAAAUGACAGGAAAGCAGCAUGAGAAUUCAGACCUAGAUGUAAAUUAAAUGUGCAUAAUUCCUCAAGACGUUUUGAGUUAUCUCUUCCUAAAGGCUGCGCUGCCAGAGGUCAGCGUGGGUCAGUGAGGGGGCACCUGGGGUGAGGGAAGGGUGUGUCAGCAAAAGCUAAGUGUUCUCCCUCACUCUCACAUCCAGUUUCAGAUGAAUCUCAAAAAGUGGUUGCUUAUUUCUUAUUUAAUCAACUACUUCUGUCUUAUAUUCUGGAACUCAGUUUUUUUUUUAAGCCAGAAAAUCAAUUCCUUUCCCUGACUCCUCCCUGUCUCUUCUCCUUGUUUGAGCAUGUUAAUCUCUCUCUGAUUACUCCACUGUCUCCUUCAUUUGACUCCAAAUCAAGCCACCUGGUCUACUGUGAUGGCCUAGCCUCUAAUUCCCUGACUCUGGAUUCUCCUUGCUGCCCUGCCCUUGUCAUGUUUACACCAGAAUAAUGCAUCUAACGCUCAUAUCUGAUUGCACCGUGCCUCCACUUUAAGCAACUCUGAUGAUUUUGGGGAAUUCUCUACAAAACAGACUUCAAACAUCUUGUAUUGCAUUCUACGUUCUUCCCAGUGUAGCUCCAAUCUGUUUUUUCAGCCCAAUCUCCUGUAUCAACCCCCAAAUCCCUAUCAUGUUAUUAAAGCUACCCCUACAAAUAUAACAUGCUUAAAUUUAGAUUGUGCCUCUUCGCAGCCACCCACCUGGGAGCAACUUGUACUCAUUCUUCAAAUGCCAGUGUCUAUAAUGUAAUACUUCAAAGCAAUAGAAAGAGUGACGGGUGCGCACUGCACAGGGAUGGAUCUCACAGACAAAUGUUGAGCCGAAGAAGCCACUUAUAAGAGAGAACAUAUCAUAUGAGUUCAUUUACAUGAAAUUCAACAGCAGGCAAAAAUAAUCCAUAGUGAUGAAAUAGUAGUUACCUCCUGGAGGUAAGAAGGAGCACAAGAAGCCCUCUUGGGAGAUGAAAAUGCCACAUCCAAUAUCUUGAACUGGGAGAUAAUUACAUGGGUAUACACAUAUGCAAAAAUUUAUUGAGCUGUACAAUGAAGAAAUGUCAGCAUUAUUGUAUGUACGUUGUACCUCGCUUAAAAAAGAAAACAAAUACCAACAAAUUAGUUACCUCUUUGGAGACGUAUUUUUACACCCCAACCUCUCCCCAGAAAAUAACUCCCCUCUCCUUUGGGUCCCCACUGCCUAUUGUAGGUUUCAUAAUUACAACAAAUAGUCCUCAUCUGUGCCUUUCUUGCUGUUAGCCUGUGACAUCUUUAGUAUUUUUCUUUUCAUCUCAGCUUUUAACACAGUAUUUGGUCAAAUGCUGCUGAAUGAACUGUGAUAAGAAAUCGCAGAUAGAACUGAGUUGUCCCCCUGCGAGUAUGGGGUCAUUUCUGCUAUAAACAUCUCCUAGCAUGCCUGUGUAUCUCUGAACAGGAAGAAUUCUAAGCUAAAGUCCUCUAUGCUCAGCAGAUUGCACUGUCUUCCCAUUAACAAGCUGAGUGAAGGCAGAAUAAUUCCCACUACAUGAUGAUGGGCGGAGCACGCUGUGCUGGGCCAAGAGAGCGCACAGUGAGUCUUGUCAGCUGCACAAACAUGAAACUGGUUAGUUGUUUAAAGAAGGCAAAAUUAAUUUGUAGCUGUCAGUCAGUUGAGUAAGAUUUGCUUCACUUCUGGAAUUUAUUGACAGGCCCUAAUAACCAGCACUUGUCUUUUCUGGAAGCAAACAGCAAAAGCUGAGAACUGGAAAUAUGAUGUUCACCUCUGGUUCCCAAGCAAAAGAGAAAGAGGCUAUUGUGGUCAUACAGUUUUUAUAUGAUUUUCAAAUUUUAAUAGACGAUUUUGCUAUUGGAAGUUUCCCAAAUGAGCUUGCUGUUUUUUCUUUAUUACUGCAGGGUUAAUAUAGUCUGAGUGUUUUGGCAAGGUUUAUGGCACAGAGUGUGGGGGAAAAAAAGAACUGUGAUUGCCUAUAAUAAAGAGGGUGUUGAAGACUCAGAUUCAACAAUGAUUUUAUUGACAGACUUCUGUUUAUGGACACUUGAUAUAUUUUAAUUCAUUUAAACCUCACGACAAUGUUUUGAAGAAGGAAUUUAUGAGGCCUAAUUUAUAGAUGAGAAAAUGAGACUAGAAAGGUCAAAUAAUUUCCCAGUAUCGUAUAGUAAGUGCUAAAGGCAAAAUUUAGAUUCAUACAUCUUACACUAAAUCUCGUGAUCUUUCUUUAAGUAUCUGGUUAUGUAAUAUUGUUAUACAUUGUUAUAUUAGGUAAUAAUGUUAUAGAUUCAGUUUUCAGGAAGGAACAAGGUCUUCCUUAGAUUCUCUUAUAACUUAUCACAUCUGUUUCUCUAUACUUCAGAGAAGUGAGCACCCAGGCUGAGAUACUCCUAGCAUACCAUUCAACUCAAGGCAAUAUUUAAGAAUAGCUAAUGAGAAACAGACCUUUAUAUAUCUAUGUAUUGUUUUUACACAAUGGGAGCCCUAAGGAGAGAAGAGCACAGUCCUGGCCCUCAAGAAGCCCCCAGUCCAUGAUGAAAGACCUUGGCUAUUCCACCAAAGGUUUAAAGAAAAACAGGGAUGGUCUUAGUGUGACGAUCUCUGCAUUCAUUACUUUCAGUAGAGCAAGAAGCAGUGGCUUCCUAUGAAGUCACCUUGUGUACAUGUUUAACACUAGCUGUUACUCUCAUGGGUCAUGAGUCCUUCAGGAUCGCCAAUGCUCUGCAAGAUCUUAGAUCCCCAGGAGUCAGCCAUAUUUCUCUCCUGGGCUUCCUGCUCAAAGUUAGGAGACCACUUCGAUGUGGAAGGAAAUGAAGGAACAGAGAAUGCUUGGAUGUCAGGGACUCACAUGAAAUAGCCCAUAAAAUAAUCCCCCUCUCCUUUGGAGGAAGGGAGCAGGAUUUGGUUUUCUUUUGAGGAAUUGAGUAUACCUUCUGUGUGCAGUAAGAAUUAAAUGGGGAGAAGUCAGCUAUAGAAUAAAUCUAUUCCAUUCCACCAAGAUUGAUUUAGGACACAAUGGGUGCCAGGGUUGUGAGUUCCAGUCUUUAAGGAGUUUAAAUCUUUUGAGAAAAGCAGAUGUAAAUAAAUGUCAUUCAGUAUGGAAACUGCCAAAAUAAAGAUACGGACAGUAUGUUAUGGGAGCACAGAGAAGGUCACAUAAAAACCUGCCUGGAGAAGCUAAGAAGAGCCAGGCAAGGAAAGUGGAAGAGAAUCCCAAGAUGACAGACCAGCCUGUCACACUGCACGGAGGCACUGAAGAAUGUAUCAUGCAUCCAGAACGACAGGAGCUUUGACACUGCUGGACUACAGGUUUGUGUCGGUAGUGGCUUUAAAUUGUUUUUCUGUUUGAUGGCUUCUUCUUUGGUUAUUUUCAUUUGAUUGUUUCUUAAUUUUUUUAAUAUAUGAAAAGGUAAAUGUUCUUAUUUUAAAAUAAAGGAAUAGAUCUUAUAUUAAGAUUCUCCAAAGAAACAAAAACAAAAGGAUGUGUGUGUGUAUAAUCAUAUAUAUAUGAUUAUAUUAUAUAUACAUAUGAUUAUAUGUAUAUGUGAUUAUACACACACAUAAGCUAAUUACUUAAAAUCUCUCUCUUAUAUAAGUAAUUAGCUAUAAAGUAUGUUAUUAGCUCAUAUAUGUGUGUAUAAUCAUAUAUGCAUAUAAUCAUAUGUAUAUAUAAAAUAUCUCUCAUAUGAGAGUAAUUAGCUCACAUGUAUGUAUAUAUGCGAGAGCACUUUUAAUUUGCUCCCAGGAAUGCUGAGGCUUAGUAAGUCCAAAAUCUGCAGAGUAGGCCAGCAGGUUUGAGACCAAAGGAAGAGUUAUAAUUCAAGUACAAAAGCAGUCUGCUGGCAGAAUUCCUUCUGCUUAGUGGAGACCAGAGCUUGAUCUAAGAAAGGCCUAUCAGUUGAUUAGAUAAGACCCACCUGCAUUAUAGAGGAUACUCUUUACUCAAAGUCCACCAAUUUAAAUGUUAACCUUAUCUAAAAAGCACCUUCAUAGAAACAUGCAGAAUAAGUUUGACCAAUUAUCUGGGCACUGUGGCCCAGCCAAGGUGAUACAUAAAAUUAACCAUGAUAAGUUCAUAAAGACACAUAUUUAAAUUCCAAGGAUUUUGUCUUUUUAAUCUUUUGGGUAAAACAGAACCUUAAAAGGUUUUAAUCAAAUAAUGAUAAAAGCUAUUAUUUAGAAAAUAGGUAGAGUCGCAUUGUAGAUAAUGCCUAAACUUUUAAUUAAACAGAUAUUAGAAGUAUUAACUGAGACAAAUAUGGAAAGAAAAAUAGGAUUUGGCCAUGUCCAGUUUGAAAAGGCAGUGUGACAGCUAGAUAUACAUAUGCGCUAGGCAGUGUAAAUACAGGUGUGGUCACAUGCAUGUGUGUGCAGCCCAGGAAAAAGAUAGAAAUUUUAGAAUUAUUUUAUAUAUAUAAUAAUAUAUAUUAUUAUAAUCAUAUGUAUAUAUAAUAUAUAAUAAUUCUCCUGAAAGCAUGUACAGGAGAUACAGCCUAAGAAGACAGUUGAGGAUGGUACUCUGGGGAGCACAUUUUAUAUAGUGAGAGAGAGCAGGGGCGGGGAAAGCAAGACUUAUAAAAACACCAAAAAUAAAUGAUGAAUAAACAAAGAGGCUCUCCUAGGAUGUGGAAGGAAGAAUGGACAUUGACUUAAAGGAAGAAUAAUAAAGUGUGAACAAAACAAAGGUGCAAGGUCUUCUCAGAUAUCCUAAAUACUUGUGAGUAUGAAAAUACCUCACCUAGAAGGCUGGGGGAAGCAGAGGGGGUGAUCAGGGGAAAUCAUGGGUGGAAAUGUGAUAACUUUGAAUGUAAAGAAAACUGCUACCACAUCGAAGAUGACUGCAAAGACUGGAAGGAGGAGAUAACACAUAAUGGACAGAACAGCAGAGGUGAUGUGAAGAAGUAGACCCACUGUCAGACAAAUCAUCUAAAAACAAGAUGGUGGAGGAAGUAAAAGGUGGAAUAUUUUAAAGGAUUAGGAGAGUUUUCUACAGCAGAGAAACAGGCAGUAUGUAUUCUCCAUACCUGCUUUCCUUCCAGGUAAAAGUUCAUCACUAACAAAAUACUCCUGGCCUCUCUCUGUCCCUUCACUUGCUUCUCCCCCAUUGUGUGUAAAGCAAUUUACCUUAUUAGCAAAGGUGAAAGAAUAAAUGCAGUGUGUUUGGCCCAGAGACUCCCUCCUCCUCUCAGGAGUACAUUGUGUGCUCUCCACCCAUCUCUGCAACAUGCCAACCUCACAGGAAAGGUCCAGCCCCAAUUCAGGAGACUUUCAGGGUCUCAGCAUUGAUAACUCCUGAGUGGGUCUGUCUAUCUAAUUCUGGGGACCAGUAUGAAGGCCAUGAUCUGCAAAGAUAUGUCUCUCUCUCUCCAGUCUCAUUAUGAUAAAAGAGCUUUUAUGAUAUCCAUUUUGCUAAUUUUUUGUCUUAAUGUUCAAUAAAAAUAGUUGUGCAUGGAGAAUUGCUAUUAUUGGGCUUGGGACUCCCCAAAAGAUUAAAACAAAGGCAGUAUGUGCAUGCUUUGCCAUCCACAUCUUGACUGAGCCACCUGAAGGCAGGGAUAGAUGCAGAAGGAAAGAUGGAAUGGAUGCAGAAAUUGAAAACAAUAAACUUAACUAUUUUUUUGAGACUGUUUUCCCAACUGUAAAAUGCCUACCUUACAAGAUGGGUGCAAGAAUUAAAUGAGAUCCUUUAUAUAACAUUCAUAGAACCGUGAUUACAUAUAGGUGCUAAGAAAGAUAAAUUCCCUUCUUCUUCCUAGAAUACCUACCAUCUAUUAAAUAUUAAAACACUCAAGUGCACACUCCAUUGGUUUGUAAUUGUUUCAUAAAUGUCAUGUUAUAUCCUGUGGAGAUCUAUUGGUCUUUAAGGGCAGGGACUUUGGAGUCCUGUGGAAUCCUAUAUAAAAUAGGGAUAUCUUUUGUACCCCAUUCACCCUCCCUUGGACACCACAUAUCUGCUUCUCUAAAAGCA
rnacentral:lncRNA from 10 species